rnacentral:rRNA from 1 species
UGAUAUUCCUGUACCACCUAUAAUCGUUUUAAUCGAUGGGGGGACGCAGUAGGAUAGGCGAAGCGUGCGAUUGGAUUGCACGUCUAAGCAGUAAGGCUGAGUAUUAGGCAAAUCCGGUACUCGUUAAGGCUGAGCUGUGAUGGGGAGAAGACAUUGUGUCUUCGAGUCGUUGAUUUCACACUGCCGAGAAAAGCCUCUAGAUAGAAAAUAGGUGCCCGUACCGCAAACCGACACAGGUAGUCAAGAUGAGAAUUCUAAGGUGAGCGAGCGAACUCUCGUUAAGGAACUCGGCAAAAUGACCCCGUAACUUCGGGAGAAGGGGUGCUCUUUAGGGUUAACGCCCAGAAGAGCCGCAGUGAAUAGGCCCAAGCGACUGUUUAUCAAAAACACAGGUCUCUGCUAAACCGUAAGGUGAUGUAUAGGGGCUGACGCCUGCCCGGUGCUGGAAGGUUAAGAGGAGUGGUUAGCUUCUGCGAAGCUACGAAUCGAAGCCCCAGUAAACGGCGGCCGUAACUAUAACGGUCCUAAGGUAGCGAAAUUCCUUGUCGGGUAAG